rnacentral:rRNA from 1 species
CAAUAGCGUAUAUUAAAGUUGUUGCAGUUAAAAAGCUCGUAGUUGAAUUUCUGGUGGGCGCGCCGGUCUUCCAAGUGUUGUACUGGGCGCAGUCCGCCAUCCUUGCGGAGAGGGCUCGCAUUGAGUUGCGUGUCGGAUCUGCAUCAUUUACUGUGAAAAAAUUAGAGUGUUUAAAGCAGGCUGUCGCUUGAAUACAUUAGCAUGGAAUAAUAAGAUAGGACUUCGGUCUAUUUUGUUGGUUGCGAACCGAGGUAAUGAUUAAUAGGGAUAGUUGGGGGUAUUCAUAUUUAAUUGUCAGAGGUGAAAUUCUUGGAUUUAUGAAAGAUGAACAACUGCGAAAGCAUUUACCAAGGAUGUUUCCAUUA